GUGAAGUGGUGGUGUGGGACAGAGGUUAAAGGGCAGGCUGAGUGAAGUGGUGGUGUGGGACAGAGGUUAAAGGGCAGGCUGAGUGAAGUGGUGGUUCAUUGUUUGUGUUAGCGUGUACACUCAGUUUGUGGUCUGCUGCACCUUUUGGUUUUUUCUGUUCAGUUCUGCAUAGAAGAACAUUAAAUGGAUGUUUCCCUUCAACUCUGCCUGUGUCCUGCCUCCUCGACUGGGACAGUCACACUUUUUCACUGUCACACAGACUAAAGGAAUGAACACCCAAACCGAAGUCAGAAUUAAGUAUAUUCUCCAGUAAGACCCUUCAAAGACUACAGGGAACAUGAAUGUGAUAUUUCCACACACUCUCCCUGUAGGAUGCAGUCCUACACAGAAGUUCUAUGUGACCUAUGCUGAGAUUGACUUCAGAAAGAUGGUCAAAACCCAGAAGAAGAAAAUCAACACAGCCGCCAGAGUCAGAAUAAGUCAAUUCUCCAAGAAAGACAGUCACAGUCCACAGUAAGACUAGAUCACCUGUAUUAUAGGGUAUGGAAAUAAUGGUUUUAAAUUAGAGUAUAUCUAAGUAGGUGUGCUGACAUGUUGCAGGUCCUUGAGGGAGAUGAACACAAUCAGUUGAGGAGCAGGAACAACCAGGGAAUGUGAACUUUGCACACACACUCUUUCUGUAGCUGCAGACAUUACACAGAAAUGUGACACACCCAUCACACACCCAGUCACGUAUGGGCCACACACACAGACAUAUGUUAUUUUAAAUGACAUGGGGUAAUGAUAAUAGGGUAAUGAUAAUAGGGUAAUGAUAAAAGGGUAAUGAUAAUGGAUGUUAUUUUUUUAAAUGACAUGGGGUAAUGAUAAUAGAGUAAUGUUAAUGGAUUUAUUUUUUAAAUGACAUGGGGUAAUGAUAAUAGGGUAAUGAUAAUGGAUGUUAUUUUUUUAAAUGACAUGGGGUAAUGAUAAUAGGGUAAUGAUAAUGGAUGUUUUUUUUAAAUGACAUGGGGUAAUGAUAAUAGGGUAAUGAUAAUAGGGUAAUGAUAAUGGAUUUUAUUUUUUUUAAAUGACAUGGGGUAAUGAUAAUAGGGUAAUGAUAAUAAGGUAAUGAUAAUGGAUAAAAAAUGUUUUUAACGACAUGGGGUAAUGAUAAUGGGGUAAUGAUAAUGGAUUUUAUUUUUUUUAAAUGACAUGGGGUAAUGAUAACAGAGUAAUUUUUUUUAUCUUUGACUUCUUAAAUCAUUCAAAUAACUAAAUGAAAUAUCUGUAAACUAAUUUCUCAAAAUAGAAGAAUUAUCCAGUUUGUUUUCUUGCAAUGGUCUUCAUUUUCACAAUAUCGUUGCUUUUUCUUUUUAAAACAACUGUCAUUGACCAAAGUGCUGUCCAGGACAAAAUGGAAUCAGUUAAAACGUACUCUGAGCUUCAUAAAAAAAGUGAUUUUUACACUGACAAAAAAUAAAUGAAAAUAACUGGGCAUAGUUCACAAAACUCUAAGACAGAACUGUCAAUUGUCAUGCAGGUGACUUUAUGAUCGUCUUCACUCGUGCUGCUGCUUGAAGGGAUGCUGCUGCUUUUGAUGCCUUGAACAUAACUGGUUCAUCUGAAGCCAGCUCCCGUUAGGAAAUUGGUGCUUAGCUAGGUUCAAAUUUUCAUUGCAAUGGAACAUUGUUACAAAAUAAUGCAUGUUUCACAGAAAGAUGUUUGUCUGGAUUUGACAUCUUCAGCGUAUAAUGUUCUGUGGAAGGGAGUGUCAUGGAAAUAAAGUACAUUCUAGUGAAUCCCAAACAAGCCCCACUGUCCUAUGCACGUUAUUUCAGUGCCAUCCGCAGCACUUUGUCGUUAAUAUAGCUCUGAGUGGUGUCUACGUGUUCAUUUGGGAUUGUACCUGUGUUGGCAUGAAAAUUGUAGAGGGGAUCUGGGAUUGAACUUUGGUUGUCCAACAGGGGAGAGAUUUAAUCAAAACACUGAAAGCAAACCUGGUGACUGUUUUUUGCAGAGCAUUCACAUGUUCGUUGUGCAUAACUGUCAAUGUGAUAAUGUCAUUGUCAAUAACAAUCAGUGCAAUCACCACACCUGAAUGUGUUACCAAAUUGUGUAGCUUUUCCAAUAAAAUGGGUGGGUAUGAAAAGGCAUGCAAUUGCAAUGUGUAAUGAAGCACAAUGGCUGCUUUGGCGCUGUUGGAAGAUUUGGCGAAUGGAAGAAUUUGGAGAGAUCAAAUAAUACCAGCAAGUCGUUGAGCUCCGGUGUCCCUUUCCCCGCCUGUGGCACAAACACUUUGUCUGUGUAAUGCGAUAGGCUUUUAGGCCUCCACCUCAAUGUCACACCACUUCUUUUUAAUAUCUGGGAUGGUCCAACCUUCUGAACCUGCCGCAUUCACCACAUGCUGCCACUCUAACGCCUUUUUGGCAUUUGUAAUGCCCACACUGUCAACCAAACAAUAUAUUUUGUUGUUGUUCAACCCCUACAAGAACUUCAAUUUCACACUAGGUGAAAUUCCUUUUUUUAGGUUUUAUGUUGGGAUUUGCCGUCGCUGCGGUAAUGGAGUCAGUAUCGAUUAAUAUUAAUUCAGGGUGUUUCAGUGACCAUGUAUGGGCAAUAAUGGGUCAUAAACAUGAAACCAUUAAAAUACAAUGGCAGUAAUGAUUUUAAAUAUAAAACAUGUAAUUAGGUAAUACAACAUAAAAUACGAUAAUAAAGCUAAUAGUAUUCUCUAUCUUACAGUAAGAGUUAUUUCAACAUAGGAAUUAAUAAUUUUUGCAUUGUAUUGCAUUUUAUGCUGAUAUUCUCAUUAACGCAAUGCGUCCAGCUCUGUCUGAAUGUAUGUUGUGUUGUAAUUUAAACAGAAUAAAUUAUCCA
ensembl:lncRNA